GAGGCCAUCCAUGGCGCCCCGGCCAGGUGCCGGCCAUCCCGCGGCUCUCCCUGUUGGUUAAGAGCGCCCCAGCAGUCUCCCUCCCAAUCUGGAACCCUAGCCCCCAAAAUUUCCCCUCCUCCUCUUCCGCUUCUCCUCUGUUCCUCGUGCACGAGCUGCCGUCAACGCGUCAUCGCCGCCGUCGCGGCCACUGUCAUCACCUACGCACGGAAGGACGUCCAGGAGGUCCAGUGGGGCCGUCUUCGUCCGUCCCGAGCAUCAACUCGAGCGGGGCCGCCCCGUACGCUCGCCAUCGAGCCCGUCCCCACCGCGUACAUCGCCGGCGUCCGCCGGCGUCGCCUCGACUCCACUCCGCCUCCGGCCUCCCCGACCUCGCCUAUGUGCUCGCUAUGGUGGAGCCCAGGAGCCAGAUGAUGCCACCCCCGCAGACUACUACUACUACCCAGAGGGUGCCUUCUACUAUGUGGAGCCCGCCGACGACCAGGAGUAGUUAGGAGGUCCCAGGCAGGAGGCCUUGCCUCUUCGAUCGUUGUUGCUUUUGUGCUAGACUUCUUAAGGCAUCCUUGUUUAACUUAUGUCUGUACUCAGAUAUUGUUGCUUCCGCUGACUCUUGUGUAUCGAGCUAUGUAUUCGAGCCCUCGAGGCCCCUGGCUUGUAAUAUAAAGCUUCUAUUAUUUUAUUUGUA